AGUGGCGGACGGGUGAGUAACACGUAAGAAUUUGCCUUUAGGAGGGGGACAACAACUGGAAACGGUUGCUAAUACCCCAUAUGCUUUCGAGUGAAAUGGAUUUCCGCCUAAAGAGAAGCUUGCGGCUGAUUAGCUUGUUGGUAGGGUAAUGGCCUACCAAGGCGACGAUCAGUAUCUGGUUUGAGAGGACGAUCAGACACACUGGAACUGAGACACGGUCCAGACUCCUACGGGAGGCAGCAGUAGGGAAUUUUCCGCAAUGGGCGAAAGCCUGACGGAGCAAUACCGCGUGAGGGAUGACUGCCUAUGGGUUGUAAACCUCUUUUUUCAGGGAGGAAUAAAUGACGUGUACCUGAAGAAUAAGCAUCGGCUAACUCCGUGCCAGCAGCCGCGGUAAGACGGAGGAUGCAAGUGUUAUCCGGAAUCACUGAGCGUAAAGCGUCUGUAGGUGGCUCGGCAAGUCAACUGUUAAAUCUUGAAGCUCAACUUCAAAAUCGCAGUCGAAACUAUGGAACUAGAGUAUAGUAGAGGUAAAGGGAAUUUCCAGUGGAGCGGUGAAAUGCGUAGAGAUUGGAAAGAACACCGAUGGCGAAGGCACUUUACUGGGCUAUUACUGACACUCAGAGACGAAAGCUAGGGUAGCAAAUGGGAUUAGAUACCCCAGUAGUCCUAGCUGUAAACAAUGGAUACUAGGUGUUGA
rnacentral:rRNA from 1 species